CCGCAUCAAUUCAUUUCCACAUUUCAAGACCAAGCGGUUACAUCUUCCAAGAGAACCAAAAACCCUCUUCCAUUUAUUUUCCAUCGUUCCCGAUUCUUCCAUGCCCUAAACACAAUAACUCCUUCAAUCUGAUUCGCGCGGCCAGUCGUCUUCCAUUCUCCGUCCGCCAAAUCUGGAAACCCCACCUUCCAUGUAAGUUUGCUCAUUCCUUCUUAAACAUUCUGUCGCUAGUAUAUGAGAAAGUUGAUUGGCUUUCCUGUUCACAUGUUGAAAUCGCACCCACCAGAAUUUUUUCGAAAUUUGUUGAAUAUUCCUUUUAUAAGCACCAAUUUCCGACUUAUCAAGGGAAUUUAUUCGACAUUUAUUAACAACUGAUAACGAGUCCCCUUCAAAGAUGAGAUCUGACCAACCCAUUUCCAUACUUGUUUGUACUGCCCAAGAACAUGCAAGGGCCUCUGCAGCGAAAGCGGACGCAACUUUUUCAUGAAGUAUUGUUCGUGAGACCCGAACCCAACCACCAGUGUUUCUUGCCACAAUUCUAGAGCAAGAUUCAAGACAAUCUUUGUCAAAAGCCUCAUCAAAAUUAACUUUGAUGAGUUCACCAUAUGGGGGAAGCCACUGGUCAUUCGCACUCAUUCUUGUAGGCCCAUCUAACUCUGAUUUAUCAAUUUCCACCAAGUUGCAAAGUAAAUCAUUUGCGAUCUUCUGUCCAGUUCAUGAACCCGUUUUGUUUCUAUCUAACCAGAUUGCCCAUAGUGCUCCUCCAAACAUCCUCCUAGUAUGGUGAUUACCGGCCCAAAUCUGCUCUGUUUAAAACCCAACGAAGGCCUAAUUGUGACCUUACUUCUACUAAUACAGGGCAAUUUCUAAAAACAUGGUCCCAAUUUUCCAUACCCCCCGUACAUCGAGGGCAGACAGUAUUAAUCACCAAGGUUGAAGGUUCAGAUUUGUAAAUGUAGGGAUAUAAUUGUUAGCAAUUCUCCAGAUUAUAAUCUUAAUCUUAGUGGGAAGUUUAAGGCUCUAGAGCUUCCUAUAAAAAGCAUUAGAAAUGGUCUGUAAGUCAUCCAGUGUUCACCCUGCUACACCACAAAGUCAUCAUGUCAGCUCCUUGGCAGAGGCGAUUCUAGGGGGCUGGCAUGGGCCUCAGCCCGAAAAAUUAUUAUUUAAACUUUUUAAUAUUUUUAAAAUUUUAAAUUAGUAAAUGUAA
rnacentral:lncRNA from 1 species